CUCCUACGGGAGGCAGCAGUGGGGAAUUUUUCGCAAUGGGCGCAAGCCUGACGAAGCAACGCCGCGUGGAGGAUGAAGGUCUUCGGAUUGUAAACUCCUGUCGACCGGGACGAAUGCACUCGACCUAAUACGUCGGAAUGUUGACGGUACCGGUGGAGGAAGCCACGGCUAACUCUGUGCCAGCAGCCGCGGUAAUACAGAGGUGGCAAGCGUUGUUCGGAAUUACUGGGCGUAAAGGGCGCGUAGGCGGCCUUGUAAGUCUUGUGUGGAAGCCCUCGGCUUAACUGAGGAUCUGCACGGGAUACUGCGAGGCUUGAGUUCGGGAGAGGAAAGCGGAAUUCCGGGUGUAGCGGUGAAAUGCGUAGAUAUCCGGAGGAACACCAGUGGCGAAGGCGGCUUUCUGGACCGACACUGACGCUGAGGCGCGAAAGCUAGGGGAGCAAACGGGAUUAGAUACCCCGGUAGUCCUAGCUGUAAACGAUGAUCGCUGGGUGUGGGGGGUUUUUACUCCCUCCGUGCCGAAGCUAACGCAUAAGC
rnacentral:rRNA from 1 species